AUAGGCCUACGGGGGGCAGCAGUGGGGGAUAUUGCACAAUGGAGGAAACCCUGAUGCAGCGACGCCGCGUGAGUGAAGAAGUAUUUCGGUAUGUAAAGCUCUAUCAGCAGGGAAGAAAAAAGACGGUACCUGACUAAGAAGCCCCGGCUAACUACGUGCCAGCAGCCGCGGUAAUACGUAGGGGGCAAGCGGUAUCCGGAUUUACUGGGUGUAAAGGGAGCGUAGACGGCAAUACAAGACGGAAGUGAAAUACCCGGGCUCAACCUGGGAACUGCUUGGGAAACUGUAGGGCUAGAGGGCUGGAG
rnacentral:rRNA from 1 species